rnacentral:lncRNA from 1 species
UUUAAAUCAUGUUCUCUCUUCGGAUCUCAGUUUGCGACUCGAUGGGGUUUAAAGAUUGUUGGUGCUCCUCUAAUCGGUGGUGUGAGGCCUGUGGAGCCGGUAAUGGGACAUCACAACUACACUAACUACCCCAUGGUCUACGGUCAUUUCUGUUUCACCAGCAGAUCUGGGUUUGUGUUAAUAAAAAAGAAAGGGUUGUCCUCUUCUGGAUGACUACAGUCAGGAUCUCCAGAUAUCUCAUCCCAAUUGUCAGGAGAUGCUAUUUGUUUCCUAAUCUGUAUGAUACCCAAACCCCCACACCUUUUCCUCCCAUCCCCUGACCCCCAUUAAGUAACUUAUAAACAGCAUUAAUUAUAUCCCUAAUAGUCCCUUGCGUCAUUCUAUAGAGCAAUGCACGCAGGGUGCAGCCCUACAUAUGCGGGGCAGCGCCUUCAUUACUGCAUUGUGUCCAACAGGUGGCAGCAGAGAGCUGCAGCGCUCCCGAGUGCUGUAAGGACUGCACGGAGAGAUGUGCGGGUCUUCACGGGAACAGCCAGGAACCGAAAGCUGCAUUUCCCGGGAUGCCCUGGAGCUCCACUUUGCUGACUGGUAAUUGUCUGCCCAGCAGGUAAGGACAAUGCACACCCACCAGUGUUUACCGCUUACUCAGUGAGACACAAGGUGGAGUUCCCAGAGCUCCUUUCUGCACUUCAGGGUGCCCCGAAGGCUGCCCGUCCUAUUCUUUGCACGUUCUCCUUGGCUCUGGCCUUUCACCGUGGUGUUCUCCUUCCUUUUCCUUCCCUUUUCCCUUGGCGUUCCCUACUGCAUUCUCUUGCCCUCGUGUUUUUGCAUUCCAUGUCAUGUUCUCUUGGCCAUUGCCCUUGACUUUCUUGGCCACAUUCACUUCAACAUUCAGUUUUGGCGUUCCCUGCAGUGCUCUCUUGCCCUUCUGUUUUGGCGUUUCUUGUCGUGUUCUCUUGGCCAUUUCCUUGGCAUUUCCUUCCACAUUCUCUUGGCCCUUACCUAGGCGUUCCCUUGCCCUCCUGUUCUUGCGUUCCAUGC